rnacentral:rRNA from 1 species
UACGGAGGGUGCAAACGUUGCUCGGAAUUAUUGGGCGUAAAGCGCACGUAGGCGGUCCGCUAAGUCGGGUGUGAAAUCCCUCGGCUUAACCGAGGAAGUGCAUUCGAAACUGGCGGGCUUGAGUACUGAAGAGGGUCGCGGAAUUCCCGGUGUAGAGGUGAAAUUCGUAGAUAUCGGGAGGAACACCAGUGGCGAAGGCGGCGACCUGGGCAGAUACUGACGCUGAGGAGCGAAAGCCAGGGGAGCAAACGGG